rnacentral:tRNA from 1 species
GCUCCACUGGCGCAAUGGUAGCGCGUCAGACUUCUACUGCGUAGUCGAUCUGCCCCGGUAUCUGAAGGUUGCGGGUUCGAGUCCCGCGUGGAGUA